ensembl:lncRNA
GAAGACCUGGAGAGAAUGGAGGAGGCGGUCAUGUCAAUUCUGCACAACUUAGAGAUGGAGAACACUGAGAUCCAUGAGACCAACCAUAAGCUGAAGAAGGAGAUUACCUUCUCUAGAAACCUGCUCAGCCAGCUCCUGAUGGAGAACACAUGUAGGAAGGAGUUGGUCCCACUGAAGCAGGAGAGCAAGGAGGUACAUCUUGAUUGUGCACUGAACCAGAAAUAUUUGGUUGACUUCAACAAGAAAGAUAAAGACCAGCAACGUCCAGACCCAGCGUCAUCUGGUCUCAGAAAGUGCAAGAGAGCUGGAAUUGGACACACAGCAGUAAGAAAGCUUCCUGAAGAAUAAGUUGCUUUCUCAGGAGUCCCUGAUGACAAAUAUCCUGAAUGAAAACAGCACUUGAGAGACAACUUGGGGGACCUCCUUUCAUUAUGUGUGCAAGAGGAGAAACAGCAAUACAUCUGUGC